GCAGUCAAAUUAGAAAUUGUUUUUUUCUAAUGAUUGUUUUCAUAAAAUGGUUUAUAAAAAGCUUAAAAAAAAAAUGCAGCCAUUUCAAUCUGAUGGCAGUUGUGUGGAAAGGGUCCUACCUUUUUAACGUGUUACACUCUUGUUGAAAUGAAGAAACAAAAAGAACCAACAAAGUCUGAAGAAUUAGCAUCAGACUCUGAUACUUUUGAAGAGGUUUUGAUUGUUCUAGAAUUUCCCGAGUUAGCAUCUACUAAUUUUUUCAAAUGUUGUGAUGAAAAAACUGUGACCCUUCAGCUUGAGGUUUUUUAAUUUCUGUAUUUUCUACUCAUGUCAUGCUUGUUCCAUGUUGUGCAAGAAUUCGAUUUUUUCACAACCUUCUGUAUCCAAAGUUAAUGAUAUGAUUCAAUUUACAACCCAGCCUUCAAAAGUUCUUGGUACAAGCGUGUUCUUUGAGUUACCUGUUGUGACAGAAAUUUCACAAGGCGCCACCACUGACUUGAAAUAUGUUGGUUAUACCAAUGACACGGUAACAUUUUCCCUUUUACCAAAAACCAUUGAAACAUCUUGAGAAGCCUUCUUUUUCCCAUUUGACAAUUGCAUUGGACGUUAUCGUAAUACUCAGUUGAUGUUUGUUAUUUUUUUUGUUAAUUAACUUGUCUGGGACUAAACAAUAAUUUUAAGAAAAUGUAUUUGGUGUCAUGUGAAGAAAUGAAAAUUAACAAUGUUAUUUUGCAACAACGUUCGAUUUAAAUUAACAAAAUAUUUUACGUAUUGUUGUUAAUCGAAAAAUAUUUUUUUGGAUUGUAAAAAGCAUGUUCUAUUUGUACGGUUAACUGGGCGUUAUAAAUAACUACUUUCGCAGCCUGCUACAACGAGUAUACGCAUGAGUCUCGUGAAACAAUGUCGAUAACAAUGUAAAACUAGUUGGGCAGUUAUUUGGCUCUUUAUCACGAAAGCAUAAUCUUGUUUAUUAGGUAAUCCUCAUACAACAAUAAAUAUGUUCAGUGCCGGAAGGGUUCAAAUGACUGAAGGGUUACGUGUCAACAGUGUCAAAAGCUUUUAAGAAAAAAUAGAAAAAGUUGCGAGAGUGGCACGAAGAAGAAAAAUUUCAUUGUUCAGGCGAACUCCUACUGAUGCGUCGCUUAGGCAACAACGAAAAUCUCUGUUUCAUUCAGUCUUCCCUUGGAGGGUAGGCUGUUAUGGCGAAGCAUGAGCUUCGAAAGGAUGCGUCCUAAUGUAACGGUUUUUUCUUUACGAGUUAAACUAAACACAUUUCCUAAAAAAUGAGGAAACGUUCCAGACACGAACGAGGCUCGAGUCCGUUCAAAGUGUUACUUUGUUACCACUUUUUCUUGUAGUCUAGAAACAAGCGGUGAAAUUUUUUUUUCAAAACACAGAUCAUUUUACAUAUUGUAAAAAGAAAUGCCAAAGAAGGAAAUUUUUGAAGUUAUUUAUAUUCUCUAAAUAAAAAUGGAGUUUUAACUCAUUACUAAAUUGGUACACUUGAAACAUAAACGUCCUGAAACAUCAGAAAUUAGUGACGACGACAUUUUACGCGAGUGGAGAAACAACGUAUUGCAGUUUUAAUCGUUGUAUAAGAAUUAUUACAAAAAAAAGCUGUUUGCAUCGAUUUUUUUGUUUCAUUAUUUAGCGUAGAAAAAUAAGAAUACAAUCGAAAUGAGUGUAGAACACAGUUGUUGCGUUAUUUUAAAAGAUCUAGAUCAUGGAAUGCACUUUCGUCAAAUUCCUGCUUUUUCCUAUAAGGAGGUGAUGCCGUUAAGACCGUGGAUAUCACUGUAGUAUCAAAGUGUUUCAGGUGGCUCAAAUUCAUCGCGAAAUUGCAUGGAGAUUCAAUGAAUUAAAGGAAAUUUUAAAUCACCAAAAGAUUGCUUUACAACAAUUGAUUGAACAUGUCGAAUCAUCACAGCCCUUACCUAGAGACUGCUUAUCUAUAGUAGAAUAUCCUUACUUUGCCCUUUUCAUUCAUUUAUCUGCAGUUCAACAACUUCAAAGAUCUUUAAAUAUAUACAAAUAUAAACGCACCCAGUGGCUUCAUCAUAUUAUUUUAACAGACUUUUUAAAACGUGAUAAGGAAAAAGAAAAGGAUUUGUUGUCGGUUGCGUUACCACAUGAAUUAUCAAGCCGUUUAUCCUUAAUUGAACAAAAUUUUUUUCGACAUGUGCAAAAACUCGUUUUUAAAUAUGGAACAGCCAUGUCGGCAAUUAUAUCAGCACAAACGGAACAUAACCUUUUAAGUGCUUCUAAGCAUGUUUUUGAAAGUAUUAAAAUUCAUUUACCCGACCGGUUUUUCCAAAAACAAAUUACAAAAAUGUCUUUGCCGUCGUACAUUGAAGUUUCUCAAGAUUCAUGGAUGUUUCAAAACUGCGCUUUACCUCAAGUAGAAGAUGAAAAUGAUUCAUGUCCAGUGUCUCAAUAAGGCGUUAAGCACAACAUUUUGCUUUGAUUCCAGAUAUGUAUGAGUGGUUUGCUUUAGAAUGCACUUUAAUAGAAAACAGUUUUCAAGAUGGUGUUAAAAAAAAUUUUUUUAAUCAACUCAGCUGUAUCUGAAAAGGCGGAGUGAAAUGGUUCAGUAACUGACGAUACCACAAAUAUUUAACAAGCAUACUACUAGAAGAUUGUCAAAAAUAACGAAAAAUUUUAAAAAAAUUAAAUAAUCGCAGGUGUGAUAAAUUGGAAAAAUCAUUUUUAAAGUGUUCAUAUGCAUCACUCAUUUUGUCAUGACGCCCACUAAUGCAACGUUCAUGCUGACUUCUAUAUCUUUUGUUUGCUAAAAUAAUUAAAAAUCGGUGUUUAUUUUGAACAUUUUUUUUUUACGCUAAAAACAUAAAGUUGUUUUUUAUUAAAAAUCAACUUUAAAGUUAUUGUAAUAUAACGGAGUUUUUUUUUUUUUUUUGAAGGUAUAUCAAUAAGAAAGUGAUUAUUCACGGUAAAGACAUGAAUUUAAACAGUCAAUUAGUUGUUUAUUACAAGGGAGUCUCAUGAUGACAAUUUUCACACAGUGCCCAGUCGAUUUGAUUUUUUUUUUCUAGACAAAUUUAUGACUUCCCAUAUGAUAGUGCCAGUUAAAGCAUCCACCCCAUCGCUUUAUCCAGUUGUCCCGCGUGUGUGGAAAGGAACCAUGAAGAGCGAAAAAAAUCAUCAAGUGAAUCGUUUUAAUCAAAUGUUGUAUUAUGAUAAAAGCCAGUCGUUUUCUAAAAUACAAGAAGGAAAAAUUAUAAUAGAUGAAUGUUCUUCUUUUUCUUCUUUACCUCUCCAAGAUAAACAUUCGAGUGAGAAAAAGACAAUCACAGAAACAUUAAGUAACCCACCCUUCCCUUUACCGGAUUCCCUCACGAGUCAUGAAAACGUGUCAGUGCUAUCGUCGGACGAAUUUAAACAAACUGCAAACGACAGUUGCGUGGCUUACCCACCAUUUAUUUAUGAAAAAAUUUUAUUUAAUAGUGUUAAAUAUUUUCCCGAUCUUGAAACAGCUGGAGCUAUUCUUUGGCAUUCCAGCAAUGUGUAUCAUAGGCUCCUUUCAUUACGAAAAAAUGAUGUGUUACUGCAUAAAAAAUAUUUUUCAAGUAAUCCAUGCAUCUGUAAAAGAUGCAAUAACCACUCAACUUUACGACUUAAUACCUCUUCUUAGAUUUGUUACAAAUGUUUUUAAUUUUUUUGACGAUUUUUUCUUAUGAUUCGACAAUAUAUGCAAUAUAAAAAAAGAUACCAUUCAUCUUAGAGUAAAUGGUACCCUUAUUAAAUUGGUAGCGAGAACACCCUUGUGGGUUUUUUUUUAAAGUGAAUUUAUUGGUAGGACAUUAUUUGGUUAAAAUAACUCUACUAAGAAUAAUGCAUUUCGUUUUAUUAGUAUUACGUU